CAGGUAUGGUUGGUGUGGGUUUAUAAUAUGUUGUGACUCAGGUGUACUUGACUACCUGUGUGUCCUCCAGGUAUGGUUGGUGUGGGUUUAUAAUAUGAUGUGACUCAGGUGUACUUGACUACCUGUGUCUCCUCCAGGUAUGGUUGGUGUGGGUUUAUAAUAUGUUGUGACUCAGGUGUACUUGACUACCUGUGUGUCCUCCAGGUAUGGUUGGUGUGGUUGGUGUGGGUUUAUAAUAUGUUGUGACUCAGGUGUACUUGACUACCUGUGUCUCCUCCAGGUAUGGUUGGUGUGGGUUUAUAAUAUGAUGUGACUCAGGUGUACUUGACUACCUGUGUGUCCUCCAGGUAUGGUUGGUGUGGGUUUAUAAUAUGUUGUGACUAAGGUGUACUUGACUACCUGUGUGUCCUCCAGGUAUGGUUGGUGUGGUGUGGGUUUAUAAUAUGUUGUGACUCAGGUGUACUUGACUACCUGUGUGUCCUCCAGGUAUGGUUGGUGGGGGUUUAUAAUAUGAUGUGACUCAGGUGUACUUGACUGCCUGUGUGUCCUCCAGGUAUGGUUUGGUGUGGGUUUAUAAUAUGUUGUGACUCAGGUGUACUUGACUACCUGUGUCUCCUCCAGGUAUGGUUGUUGUGGGUUUAUAAUAUGUUGUGACUCAGGUGUACUUGACUACCUGUGUGUCCUCCAGGUAUGGUUGGUGUGGGUUUAUAAUAUGUUGUGACUCAGGUGUACUUGACUACCUGUGUCUCCUCCAGGUAUGGUUGGUGUGGGUUUAUAAUAUGAUGUGACUCAGGUGUACUUGACUACCUGUGUGUCCUCCAGGUAUGGUUGGUGUGGGUUUAUAAUAUGAUGUGACUCAGGUGUACUUGACUACCUGUGUCUCCUCCAGGUAUGGUGUGGUGUGGGUUUAUAAUAUGUUGUGACUCAGGUGUACUUGACUACCUGUGUGUCCUCCAGGUAUGGUUGGUGUGGUGUGGGUUUAUAAUAUGUUGUGACUCAGGUGUACUUGACUACCUGUGUGUCCUCCAGGUAUGGUUGGUGUGGGUUUAUAAUAUGAUGUGACUCAGGUGUACUUGACUACCUGUGUCUCCUCCAGGUGUGGUUGGUGUGGGUUUAUAAUAUGUUGUGACUCAGGUGUACUUGACUACCUGUGUCUCCUCCAGGUAUGGUUGGUGUGGGUUUAUAAUAUGAUGUGACUCAGGUGUACUUGACUACCUGUGUGUCCUCCAGGUAUGGUUGGUGUGGGUUUAUAAUAUGUUGUGACUAAGGUGUACUUGACUACCUGUGUGUCCUCCAGGUAUGGUUGGUGUGGUGUGGGUUUAUAAUAUGUUGUGACUCAGGUGUACUUGACUACCUGUGUGUCCUCCAGGUAUGGUUGGUGGGGGUUUAUAAUAUGAUGUGACUCAGGUGUACUUGACUGCCUGUGUGUCCUCCAGGUAUGGUGUGGUGUGGGUUUAUAAUAUGUUGUGACUCAGGUGUACUUGACUACCUGUGUCUCCUCCAGGUAUGGUUGUUGUGGGUUUAUAAUAUGUUGUGACUCAGGUGUACUUGACUACCUGUGUGUCCUCCAGGUAUGGUUGGUGUGGGUUUAUAAUAUGUUGUGACUCAGGUGUACUUGACUACCUGUGUCUCCUCCAGGUAUGGUUGGUGUGGGUUUAUAAUAUGAUGUGACUCAGGUGUACUUGACUACCUGUGUCUCCUCCAGGUAUGGUUGGUGUGGGUUUAUAAUAUGUUGUGACUCAGGUGUACUUGACUACCUGUGUCUCCUCCAGGUAUGGUUGGUGUGG